GAUGAACGCUAGCUACAGGCUUAACACAUGCAAGUCGAGGGAAACGACAUUGAAAGCUUGCUUUUGAUGGGCGUCGACCGGCGCACGGGUGAGUAACGCGUAUCCAACCUGCCCACCACUUGGGGAUAACCUUGCGAAAGUAAGACUAAUACCCAAUGAUAUCUCUAGAAGACAUCUGAACGGGAUUAAAGAUUUAUCGGUGAUGGAUGGGGAUGCGACUGAUUAGCUUGUUGGCGGGGUAACGGCCCACCAAGGCGACGAUCAGCAGGGGUUCUGAGAGGAAGGUCCCCCACAUUGGAACUGAGGCACGGUCCAAACUCCUACGGGAGGCAGCAGUGAGGAAUAUUGGUCAAUGGACGAGAGUCUGAACCAGCCAAGUAGCGUGCAGGAUGACGGCCCUAUGGGUUGUAGACUGCUUUUAUAAGGGAAUAAAGUGAGUCUCGUGAGACUUUUUGCAUGUACCUUAUGAAUAAGGACCGGCUAAUUCCGUGCCAGCCGCCGCAGUAA
rnacentral:rRNA from 1 species